rnacentral:ncRNA from 2 species
CACAUCCCGCCAGGAGAGAGCUUCUCCAGGGAAGCCGCCGAAGGCGCAGGCAGCAGCCGAACGCUCAGGCAAAAGGACUGGCGACACGCC